rnacentral:misc_RNA from 1 species
CAAUUUCACUACCUCACACAAGUAACUGUGAGCUAAAAAUUACGUUCAAUACAUUACUCUCAUGGAAUAAGCCCAGAAGUUUAGCAGCAGCAAUAAUGGUGCUACUGUAUUGACAGUGAAACUAACUCCAUCCACCAUGUGGGCACCUCAAACCUUACUUCACACAUCCAUUAUAUGGAAGCCUUCUGGCAUAGCUGACCAAGCUCGAUUUGAGCUUAGUCUCACAAGAUGCUAGCUACCGCUUCAUUGCACAUGAAUGCCAG